GUGUAAUUACAAAUUUUUAAUUUGAAAAGCAUUUUAAAAUGAAGUUGCUCCAUGCAGUAAUUCAUUAUUAUUUUAAAUAAUUUUUAAACAUUUUGUGCUUAUUUACUAGAACUAUGAACAGAAGAUUAAUUUAGACAAACAUUUUAAGAAUUAAUUUCCUUCAUUCAGAUUUUCUUCUGUACUUUUUUCCUGUUAUUUUGUUUUAUUGUAUUUUGUUCGUGCAGCCUAGUGUCGUUCUUUUGGUUGAACUCAUUAAAUGAUGUCUGAAACUGAAGCGUUUUGUCCACAUUAAUAAACUGGAGCCGUUCUCCUGCUUUAAUUAAACGUCGUUUCUCCGGGUUUACUUUGUGUCGUUUCUUUUCCACUCGGCUGGUCUGACGUUGAGAACGAGCUGCUGCAGAGAGGCGAUAUUUCACAACCCCAAUAAUUGGAAACGUCUCAAUUCCCUAAUUACAAGCUAAAUCAUCGACUGCAGCAGAGAAACAGCGACACGUUUCUGCAUCCCAGCUGCAGGAAUCCAUGAGAACCAGCUCUGAUCGGACCUUUUUAAUCCUCCAACAGCUGGAACAUGAUCUCAGUCACAUUUAUCUCCACUUCUACACAGGAAACAGAAAACUACAGGGUUAUCUGCCUGAAAAAUGUUUUUUAUGUGUAAAAUUCAACAAAAUCUAAAUCAUGUUUCAUAUGUAAGGAAAAUAAACUAAAUAUUCUAACAUUAUUUAAAAUUAUUUUUGUGUUUUUUUUAACUUAAUUACCACAUUAUGAACACAAGUUUUUAGUUUGAUAAAUAUUUGAAACAUUAUUUGGUCCAAAUAAUAUUUCAAUGUUAUUUAAAAUUAAUUUUUGUGAAAGCAUCAUGAUGUAAAAAAAAGCAGAAUUCUACGAAUAAAUUUAUAUUUUCUGUAUUUUCCUCAGUAUUUUCUGUAAUUUAACAAAAUAAGGAAAACCUGUAAAUUUUUGAAGACGUUAAAAUUAAAAAGGUGAAUUAAAAAAAAUCUUGUUUUCUGUCUCCGCUGCUUCGGUUUCAUUUCCAGAACAAACUGAACACAAACUAAAUGAAUUCAGCUCCAGACAGAAGAAGAUCGUGAAGGUUCUGGUUCAGACGGUUUAAAAUUCUGGCUCUGGUCCAGACGGUUAAAGUUCUGGUUCUGGUCCAGAUCCUACAUAUGGCUCCGGUCCGUCUCCAGAUUUCUUCCUGUUUGGUCACCAGUCGCUGCUUUUUGUUCCAGAGUGAAGGAUUAUUUUGGAGCUUCGGUUCUAGAGAUUCUGGAUCCAAACAGAACCAGAGCUGCUGGACUCAGUUUGCUGCUACAGUUAUUUAAAUUCUGGAUCGGUUCAGUCGUCUGUUGAGAGAAUCAUAAGGAAACAUGAAACCAGUUUCUGCUCCGUUAAUCAUCCAACUGGAACCACAGAAGUGCAUUUAGUCCAGUAUAGGGUUCCUCUGUCUUCUGCUUCCUCUGGCUGAUGCUCAGCAGCAGACUGUGGCCUCUGCUGCCGUAUGCAGAUCAAGCUUCAUUCUGAUGCUCCGGCUGACGGCCGGUUCAGCGUCUGAACGUCUCUGGAGAUGUGGCCAUGUGUGCUGCUCUGGUGCAGAAUGGAAGUGGAGCAGCACGGAUCGGACACUUUCAGGUUCUGCAUGUUUCUGUGAUUGGACGAUUCCAGCUUCCUGCCAGAGGAUUUAAUGUAGAAACAGCUUCAUGUUCUGGAAACGACAUGGAAUAAAACUAGAAAGAGACGAGAUAGGGAGGCUACCAAGACAUCCAUGACUCCUCUAAAGGAGAAAGAGACCAGAGAGGGAGGCCACCAAGACUCUAUGACUCCUCUGAAGAAGAAAGAGACGAGAUAGGGAGGCCACCAAGACUCCUAUGACUCCUCUGAAGGAGAAAGACCAGAGAGAAAGGCCACCAAGACAUCCAUGACUCCUCAGUAAGAGGUGAGUUUGGAUUACAGUUGAUUUAAUUACCAACAGUAUGAUGUCAACACAACCUUUCAGUACUGUUUGUAACUCAACUGUGAUUUUCUUUCUCUUCUAUUCAUUCAUUUAUUAAUGUGGUGAGAAUCCGUUUCUUGAGCUCCUCUUCGUAACGUUUCAGACGGACUUUUCCUUGAAGCUCUGUAGAACUGAGACGUUCUCCGGCUCCUCGUUAAGCUGAAACGCUUCCUGUUUGUGGCCUGUAACGCUUCCUGAUCACAUGAAAUGAGCUCUGGUCCAGCGUUAUGACGGCGGGACGUCAGGAAAGCCCAGCUAAUGAAUUUAGUCCUGAAGAGAAGCGACGGAUCAUCACUUGUCACGCGGCCGAGGCGAAGAGGUGAAGAAAUUAAAGCCCAGAGUGGCGCAUUUAAAUGCGUCUGACCUCCCCGGCAGCCGCUUGGCAGUAAUUACGCCCAAUUAUCGGUUUCUGUUUCGCCUUUUCUGUUGGUUCCCGGCUCGGCCAUGCGUGGAUCAUCCUCCACACCGGAAAAAAGCCCCUCUCAAAACAAGAAAAAAACCUUUUACCUUAAAAUAAGUGAAAAAAUCUGCCAAUAGAACAAGUGAAAAAUGUCUUGGUAAGAUUUCUGGAAAUAAGAUGUGAUAUUUAGAACACUGAGAUCUUAAAAUUAGCUGGAAAACUUAUUUUAAGCUCUAUUUUACCAGGAUUGUCAAGGUUAGGUGUCUCCUCCUCCUCCUGUUGUCCUCAUUUACGGCACCAAAAAUGUUGUUUCUUCGUCUGAAAAAUAUCCAAAAAUUCAGCCAAAAAUUCCUUAAGUUUCCCUUGAAAGUUUUAUUUAGAAAAACAAAUUUGACAAGAAAAAAAUUUUUUUAAAUGAAAAUUGUAAAUAUUUUCAAAAAAAUUGUAAAAAUAGUCCAAUAAAAUCCUAAAAAUAUCUAAAAUGGUUCCAUAUAUAUCAGUGAAACUUCUAAUAUUUUCUUGAAGACCAUAAACAUAAAAAUCAACCAAAAUCCUGCGUUGAUUUUUAUGUGAAUGUUCUUCAAGAAACAUUUUUUUAACAUUUCUUUUUUCCACCAAAAAAAGUUCAAAAAUUUCCCCAAAAAUUUUGAAAAUGUGGACGCUUCACUGUAAAAAUAUUAUAUUUUUCCAACAUUUUCAAACUGUAAAACGAGUGAAUUUGAGCCGCAGGACGACACGAGGGUUAAAACAAGAUCAUUUCAAGAUUGUUUGACUUAAGAUAUUUAAGAUGCAUUGUCUUAAAACAAGUCCUUCCAUCUGCUGAAAUGUCUCUUGUUCAGUGAAUUUAUCUUAAAUCAAGUGGGAUGAGACAUUUAGACUAAAAAUCAGACAAAUAGACUUCGUAAGAUUUAGAGUUUUUGCAGUGCUCCACUCCCUCUCAUACAGACUCUCAGUGGUACUGAUUCCUGUGGCCUUGAGGAGCUUUCCUGGUUGGUGCUUAUAUGCCUACAGAUGAAUAAUUAAACCCGCAGAUCCUCUCCUGACUUCUUGUAAGUCAAACUGAAAUCCUUGAAUCCGUCCGUCCGAAUGGCUCGACACACACCGACGAUAAGCAUCCUAAAACAUCCUCCUGGUGGUGCGUGAUUUCCUGCCGCCGCUCGCUCAGGCUCGUACGUUUCAGGAUGGCUUGUUUCCGUCCUCGGGUUCCUGCUAUCUGUGAGUGGGGAGCAGAGCAGCCAUUAAGUCUGCCCGCCGGUGCUCGUUGGUGAUGGAAACAAAUGAACCUGCAGCAGUCAACAGAUUAGCGAGGAGCCGGUGCUGCAGGAUGGAUGGAGGUAAACACUUGGUGUGGACGGCUGCAGGGUUGUGAACGUCCAAGUCUAGUGUUCGAGUGCACCAGGUCACUGACGAGUCGAAAAAAGGCUCGCUGACAAAACUUUUACCUCCCCGAUGGAUUUUAAAGACGUCACAUACGGGCUUCUAUCCUGAUAAUGCUUAUGUACGUUUAAUACAGAUACUUUCAAACAAGUUUACAUCUGUACGCACUUUUAUAAUUUCAUAUGGGGUUGGUGUAUCCCCACUCUGAAGCACGGUGGAGGCAGCAUCAUGAUGAAGCAUGGUGGAGGCAGCAUCAUGAUGAAGCAUGGUGGUGGCAGCAUCAUGAUGAAGCACGGUGGAGGCAGCAUCAUGAUGAAGCACGGUGGAGGCAGCAUCAUGAUGAAGCACGGUGGAGGCAGCAUCAUGAUGUGAAGCACGGUGGUGGCAGCAUCAUGGUGAAGCACGGUGGUGGCAGCAUCAUGGUGAAGCACGGUGGUGGCAGCAUCAUGGUGAAGCACGGUGGAGGCAGCAUCAUGGUGAAGCACGGUGGAGGCAGCAUCAUGGUGAAGCACGGUGGAGGCAGCAUCAUGGUGAAGCACGGUGGAGGCAGCAUCAUGAUGAAGCACGGUGGAGGCAGCAUCAUGAUGAAGCACGGUGGAGGCAGCAUCGUGAUGUGAAGCACGGUGGAGGCAGCAUCAUGAUGUGAAGCACGGUGGAGGCAGCAUCAUGAUGUGAAGCACGGUGGAGGCAGCAUCAUGAUGUGAAGCACGGUGGUGGCAGCAUCAUGAUGAAGCACGGUGGAGGCAGCAUCAUGAUGUGAAGCACGGUGGUGGCAUCAUCAUGGUGAAGCACGGUGGUGGCAGCAUGAUGUGAAGCAUGGUGGUGGCAGCAUCAUAAUUACUCCAUUUUUACUGUAUUUAAAUCAGAAAACUCAGAUUAUUAUUUUAUCAUAUCAUCUGUUUGCCUUUUUACCAUAUUAUUUAUUUACUUACAUGGCUGCUGCUCAGUGUUAUAUUUCUUUUCUUUUCUUGUUAAUGAUCCAAACCAGUCACUGCUGCUGUAAUGUGAGUUUAUCGUCCUUUAGGGGUUUUAUUUAACCGACUGUGUUUUAUUAUUCGUCACCUUCAGCUCUUUAAACGGUAACUUCCUCCUCUUCUGUCUGCUGAUGUGUUCUUCUGUUUGGGUUGGAGGCCUUUCAAUCAGAACCCAGUUCCAGCUCCAUUAUUAUGGGAUAUUUUUCAUUAUGUGUGGUAAUUGUGUGGAAUGUGAGCAGCGUCUUCCUUCACCUGGAGACUCGCUUCGUCUAUCGCCUCUUUAUGUGUCUGUGAGCAGCAGCGAUCCUCCAUUUCCUCCUGUAACUUCCGUCUUUGUUGCAUUUCUGAAGGUUUCUGAGGAGUUCAGGAGUCGAUUUCUGAACAAUAAACACAAACUGAUGCAGAUAAAAGCUGCACCCACAAGCUUUUAUUAGUGAACGUAAACCUGAACAUGAAAAAUCAACCCAUAUAAAUACAUACUGUAUGAACACUACCAGUCAAAGGUUUGAAACACACAUGGAGUUAUGUAGGAAGCAAGAAAGUGUGGAAUAAGUCAGAACAUGUUUGAUGUUUUAGGCCCCGUCCACACAAAGACAAACCGAGGUCUAAACGCAUAAGUUUCUUGCUGAAUCUGCGUAUCAUCCACAUGAAGACGGCGUUUUGGGGGUCUGUAAACGAUCAUUUUUGAAACCAGGUUCCAGAGUGGAAACAUUUUCAAACGCCGUAUACGCAGCUCUGUGUUUACCGGCUCUCCGCUACUUUUCAGAUAUGCUUGCAUCAUAGUUUCGUAUCUGCAUUGACACACAUGCACCACACGUGGCAACGAAACUAGUGACCCUACUAUCCCUGUUGCAGCAAAAUCUCCUUCUUCUCAAUCACCACCGAGUUGAACAAACAAUUAUCAAGGACACAUUACGGCACUUUAUUUACUUCCUGGCUUGGUCUCUGUUUACAACUUUUGCCGCAAGUGCGCAUGCCCACUGUUUUUUCUUCUGUUUGCGUGUUUCCGUCAUAUCGUUACAGCGCCCCUAGAGGUCUGAUGUGUUUUACAGCGUUUCCAUGCAUAUCGAGUGCAUUCAUGUAGACGCACACAUUUUCUGAGACGCCUUCAUCUUUAUGGCGAUCGGUUUUGAAACUGUUAAGCGUUUUGUCUUCGUGUGCAUGGGGCCUUAGAUUCUUUGCUUUGAUUCCUGCUUUGAACACUCUUUACAUUCUCUGGAUGAGCUUCAUGAGGUAGAACCUGAAAUGGUUUCACUUCACAGGUGUUCCUUGUCAAGGUUCAUUAGUGGAAUUUCUUCAUUGGGUUGGUCCAUCAGAAGUCAGGUUGGUCCACAGUUGACAGCCCUGUUUGACUGUUAGAAUCCAUAUUAUGGCAAGAACCAAUCAGCUCAGAGAAACAACAGUCCAUUAUUAUAAGAACUGAAGGUCAGUCAGUCCAGAAAACUACAAGAACUUUGAAUGUAUCCUCAAGGAACCAUCUAGGAACUAUCCAGGAACCUACUAGGAACCAUCUAAGAACUAUCCAGGAACCUAUAAGGAACUGUCUCGCAACUACCCAGGAACCUACCAGGAACCAUCUAGGAACUAUCCAGGAACCUACCAGGAGCUGUCUCAGAACUACCCAGGAACCCACCUGGAAGUCCAUCACUACUUUAACACAUGAAGGUCAGUCUAUCAGGAACAUUUCAAGAACUUUGAAUGGAUCAUCAAGGAACCAUCUCAGAACUUCCCAGGAACCAUCUAGGAACUAUCCAAGAACUUCCCAGGAACCAUCUAGGAAGUACGUAGGACACUGCCAGGUUUUGAGCCAGAUUUAACAGAUUUUGGACCAUUUUUAGCAUGUUUUGAGAAGUUUUGAGCACGCUUCAAGUUAUUGUGGAGAAUUUGUAAGCCAUUUGGGAGUUUUUAUUUGUGAUUUCAGACACUUUUUAAGUCAUUUUGGACACAUCCUUUGUAAAAACGUGUGUGGUUGGUGAUAUAUUGCUGCAGAGAGAAGAUUUACUUCUUCAGAGAAAAUCCCUGGUGAUGAAAUGUAAUAAAAACAGAUCCAGGAGAUCAAUAAUAUGAAACAGUGAAGGAGUGAAGAGAAUCCUCUGCACAUUUUUUGUAUUCAUUAUAUUUUAACAGCAAAAAAAUCCCAAAACUAAAUACUGUAAUCAUCAAUAAUCUGUAUUUUUGUUUCUACAAAUAAUAGGUUUUGUACAAUAAGUGACCAUAAAAUCACCCUGUUUUAAAGUAUUUAAAUAAUAAUAAUAUUAACUAAUAAAAUCAGCCAAAAAAGGAUUGAUAAUGUUCUCAUUUAAAAUCGAUGCUUUUAGAAAUGGUAGGUUGAUUUUUUUUUACAAUCUUUGACUGUGAAAUAUCCUUUUUUUUAAACUGUAUGUAAGAUUUGCUUAUUUACAAAUAUUUGCUUUUAUUUGAACAAAAUUCUGUUUUGUUAAAUUACAGACAAUAACAAGUAAAAUAUACUUUUUCAAAGUAUAAAUCUACACAUUAUCUCUAAAAACAAUAUUUAAAAUCUAUGUUUUAAUUUUUGUUUUCAGAUAUUUUAAGGAUUAAUUGAACAUUUUCAGUUUUUAUCCUGUGGAUUUACAACUAAAUAACAGAACUUUUUGUAUUUUUCACUCAAGAUAAUUAAUAGCGAACGUCUAUUUUUUACUUUCAAUUUACUAUUGAACAACAGUAUAUCUUUGAUUUCUCACUGUAGAGUCACAAACAACAGUAAAUGUAAUUUUUUAUAAUAAAUUUACCUUUGGCAACAGAAAUGCUUCGUUUUUUUUAUAAAUUAUGAACACAGCUUCAUACUGCUGAAUAUAUUCUUCUGUUUUUUUAACAGUUAAUGAACCCAAACAUUCUUCCAGAUGUGUUUCUAGGGUUUACGUUCAGCGCUGAACAUCCACAGUUAAUCACAUCAUAGAAGAACACCGAGAGGCUGUGAGAGCAGAAAUCCAGACCAUAAUUUCUGUGCUGUGUUUUAGUCUGAGAGCUUUCAGGCUGGAAACAUGUGCUGAGAGGAAUAUCCCCCAGAUAAUUCAUUUCAUGCAAAUUCUGAAAAAUGAAUACUGUUGCAGCAGCAAGAAUAAUUUGUACCAUUUGCAUGCAUGAGCAGAUCCCUCCAGACCAGAAUAUACGCUGCGGCUGCGAGUA